UACGUAGGGGGCUAGCGUUGUCCGGAAUCAUUGGGCGUAAAGCGCGUGUAGGCGGUUCGGUAAGUCCGCUGUGAAAGUCGGGGGGCUCAACCCUCGGAUGCCGGUGGAUACUGUCGGAGCUUGAGUACGGGAAGAGGCGAGUUGGAAUUCCUGGUGUAGCGGUGAAAUGCGCAGAUAUCAGGAGGAACACCAAUUGCGAAGGCAGCUCGCUGGGACGUUACUGACGCUGAGACGCGAAAGCGUGGGGAGCAAACAGG
rnacentral:rRNA from 1 species